AUUGAAAUUCGGCACAGCUUGUACAGGAUAGGUAGGAGCCUUUGAAACGUGAGCGCUAGCUUACGUGGAGGCGCUGGUGGGAUACUACCCUAGCUGUGUUGGCUUUCUAACCCGCACCACUUAUCGUGGUGGGAGACAGUGUCAAGCGGGCAGUUUGACUGGGGCGGUCGCCUCCUAAAAGGUAACGGAGGCGCUCAAAGGUUCCCUCAGAAUGGUUGGAAAUCAUUCAUAGAGUGUAAAGGCAUAAGGGAGCUUGACUGCGAGACCUACAAGUCGAGCAGGGUCGAAA
rnacentral:rRNA from 1 species